GUGGCAGCCGCCGCGGUAAUACGUAGGGUGCAAGCGUUAUCCGGAAUUAUUGGGCGUAAAGAGCUCGUAGGCGGUUUGUCGCGUCUGUCGUGAAAGUCCGGGGCUCAACUCCGGAUCUGCGGUGGGUACGGGCAGACUAGAGUGAUGUAGGGGAGACUGGAAUUCCUGGUGUGGCGGUGGAAUGCGCAGAUAUCAGGAGGAACACCGAUGGCGAAGGCAGGUCUCUGGGCAUUAACUGACGCUGAGGAGCGAAAGCAUGGGGAGCGAACAGGAUUAGAUACCCUGGUAGUCCAUGCCGUAA
rnacentral:rRNA from 1 species